GGUGUGUUGGCUCAGUCAGUAGAGCGUUCGCCUCACAACCGGGAGGUCGUGGGUUCGAACCCCGGCAGCGUCA
rnacentral:tRNA from 1 species